GAUGAACGCUGGCGGCGUGCCUAACACAUGCAAGUCGAGCGAACGGACGAGAAGCUUGCGUCUCUGACGUUAGCGGCGGAGGGGAGAGUAACAUGUGGAUAACCUACCUAUAAGACUGGGAUAAUUUGGGGAAAGGGGAGCUAAUAGGGGAUAAUAUUUUGAAGCGCAGGGGGCAAAAGUGAAAGUCGGUGGUGGGGGAAGGAAUAGAGGGAUCUGAGCUGCAUUCGGUAGUUGGUAAGGAAAAGGCUUACCAAGGCAACGAUGCAUAGCCGACCUCAUGGGGUGAUCGCCCACACUGGAACUGAGACACGGUCCAUACUCCUGCGGUAGGCCGCAGUCGGGAAUCUUCCGCAAUGGUCGAAAGCCUUACACAGCAACGCCGCGUGAGUGAUGACGGUCUUCGGUUCGUAAAGCUCUCUUAUUCGUUAUGAACAUCUGUGUAAUUAACUGUGCCCAUCUUGACGGUACCUGGUCAAAAAGCCACGGCUAACUACGUG
rnacentral:rRNA from 1 species